AGUGAACGCUGGCGGUAGGCCUAACACAUGCAAGUCGAACGGCAGCACAGUAAGAGCUUGCUCUUACGGGUGGCGAGUGGCGGACGGGUGAGGAAUACAUCGGAAUCUACUUUUUCGUGGGGGAUAACGUAGGGAAACUUACGCUAAUACCGCAUACGACCUACGGGUGAAAGCAGUGGAUCUUCGUACCUUGCGCGAUUGAAUGAGCCGAUGUCGGAUUAGCUAGUUGGCGGGGUAAAGGCCCACCAAGGCGACGCUCCGUAGCUGGUCUGAGAGGAUGAUCAGCCACACUGGAACUGAGACACGGUCCAGACUCCUACGGGAGGCAGCAGUGGGGAAUAUUGGACGAAGGGCGCAAGCCUGAUCCAGCCAUACCGCGUGGGUGAAGAAGGCCUUCGGGUUGUAAAGCCCUUUUGUUGGGAAAGAAAAGCAGCAGGUUAAUACCCCGCUGUUCUGACGGUACCCAAAGAAUAAGCACCGGCUAACUUCGUG
rnacentral:rRNA from 1 species